rnacentral:rRNA from 1 species
GGGAUUGCCCUAGUAACGGCGAGUGAAGCGGCAACAGCUCAAAUUUGUAAUCUGGCGCAAGCCCGAGUUGUAAUUUGUAGAGGAUGCUUCUGGGUAGCGACCGAUCUAAGUUCCUUGGAACAGGACGUCAUAGAGGGUGAGAAUCCCGUAUGUGACCGGCCCGCACCCUUUACGUAGCUCCUUCGACGAGUCGAGUUGUUUGGGAAUGCAGCUCUAAAUGGGAGGUAAAUUUCUUCUAAAGCUAAAUACCGGCCAGAGACCGAUAGCGCACAAGUAGAGUGAUCGAAAGAUGAAAAGUACUUUGGAAAGAGAGUUAAAAAGCACGUGAAAUUGUUGAAAGGGAAGCGCCUGCAACCAGACUUCGCGGCAGUGUUCCGCCGGUCUUCUGACCGGUUCAUUCUCUGUCGCGAGGCCAUCAUCGUCUGGGCCCGCCGGAUAAGACCUUAGGAAUGUAGCUCACCUUCGGGGGAGUGUUAUAGCCUAGGGUGAUGCGGCGAGGCUCGGGCGAGGUCCGCGCUUCGGCAAGGAUGAUGGCGUAAUGGUUGUCGGCGGCCCGUCUUGAAACACGGACCAAGGAGUCUAACAUCUAUGCGAGUGUUCGGGUGUCAAACCCCUACGCGUAAUGAAAGUGAACGGAGGUGGGAACCGCAAGGUGCACCAUCGACCGAUCCUGAUGUCCUCGGAUGGAUUUGAGUAAGAGCAUAGCUGUUGGGACCCGAAAGAUGGUGAACUAUGCCUGAAUAGGGUGAAGCCAGAGGAAACUCUGGUGGAGGCUCGCAGCGGUUCUGACGUGCAAAUCGAUCGUCAAAUUUGGGUAUAGGGGCG